rnacentral:SRP_RNA from 1 species
UCCUGUCAAACUGCCCAGGACUGGCAUCGAGCAGCCCU